rnacentral:rRNA from 1 species
UACGGAGGGUGCAAGCGUUAAUCGGAAUUACUGGGCGUAAAGCGCACGCAGGCGGUUUGUUAAGUCAGAUGUGAAAUCCCCGGGCUCAACCUGGGAACUGCAUCUGAUACUGGCAAGCUUGAGUCUCGUAGAGGGGGGUAGAAUUCCAGGUGUAGCGGUGAAAUGCGUAGAGAUCUGGAGGAAUACCGGUGGCGAAGGCGGCCCCCUGGACGAAGACUGACGCUCAGGUGCGAAAGCGUGGGGAGCAAACAGGAUUAGAU